GCCAACAAUCCAGAAGCAAGACUGCAAGAACGCCCGAACCCACGGAAGGGGUUGUAUUUAUUGGAUACCAAAACCAAACCGUACUCCGUGCGGUUGCGUUUGUUGAUUCACAAUAACUGAUCGGACCGCUUCCCAGGAAGCGGUAGGUCGUUCGACAUUCUGCCCUAUCAGCUUUCGAUGGUAAUGUAGUGGAUUACCAUGGCCAUAACGGGUAACGGAGAAUCAGGGUUCGAUUCCGGAGAAGGAGCUUGAGAAUUGGCUACUACAUCUAAGGAAGGCAGCAGGCGCGCAAAUUACCCGAUCCUGACUCAGGGAGGUAGUGACAAAAAAUAACAAUACCGGCUCUUUUUGGGGCUGGUAAUUGGAAUGAGAACGAGUUAAACCUUCUAUCGAGGAUCCAUUGGAGGGCAAGUCUGGUGCCAGCAGCCGCGGUAAUACCAGCUCCAAUAGCGUAUGUUAAAGUUGUUGCAGUUAAAAAGCUCGUAGUUGGACUUGUGUGCGCCGGAUGCGGCGAUCUGCGGCCAAAAGGUCGUUGCGAUCAGCCCGUCCUGGCGCCGUAAAAUUUGCAACUGAGUCGCCUCUGGUCUUAAUUGCUCGGUGGCGUCUGCUCGGUUGCUCGUUUACUGUGAGAAAAAUUGGAGUGUUCAAGGCAGGCGUGGAUUGCAACUGAACAUGUUAGCAUGGAAUAAUAAGAUAGGGCUCUGGCUCAUAUUUUUGUUGGUUUCUAGAGCGUGGGAGUAAUGAUUGAUAGGGACAGUUGGGGGUGCUAGUAUUCAGCGGCCAGAGGUGAAAUUCAUGGAUUCGCUGAAGACUGACUUAUGCGAAAGCAUUCACCCAAAGGAUGUCCUCUUUAAUCAAGAACGAAAGUUGGGGGAUCGAAGACGAUCAGAUACCGUCGUAGUCUCAACCAUAAACGAUGUCGACUAGGGAUUGGCGGUCGUUUUC
rnacentral:rRNA from 1 species